rnacentral:rRNA from 1 species
UACGUAGGGUGCAAGCGUUAAUCGGAAUUACUGGGCGUAAAGCGUGCGCAGGCGGUUGUGCAAGACAGAUGUGAAAUCCCCGGGCUCAACCUGGGAAUUGCAUUUGUGACUGCACGGCUAGAGUGUGUCAGAGGGGGGUAGAAUUCCACGUGUAGCAGUGAAAUGCGUAGAUAUGUGGAGGAAUACCGAUGGCGAAGGCAGCCCCCUGGGAUAACACUGACGCUCAUGCACGAAAGCGUGGGGAGCAAACAGG